AUAGCCUGGAAAUGGGAGUAAUACCGUAUACGCCUUUGGGGGAAAGAUUUAUGGGGGGAAGGUUCACCCCGCGUCUGAUUAGAUAGGUGGGGGGGUAAUGGCCUACCAAGUCUACGAUCAAUAGCUGGUUUGAGAGGAUGAUCAGCAACACUGGGACUGAGACACGGCCCAGACUCCUACGGGAGGCAGCAGUGGGGAAUCUUAAACAAUGGGCGCAAGCCUGAUCUAGCCAUGCCGCGUGAGGGAGUGUUGCGUUAGGGUUUUUUAGUUCUUUCGCAGAGAUGAUAAUGAAGUAUCUUCCAAAGAACUUCGGCUAACUCCGUGCCAGCUCCCGGGUAAACGGAGGGGGUUAGCGUGGUUCGGUAUUCUGGGCUAAAGCUACGUAGGCGGAUUGG
rnacentral:rRNA from 1 species